rnacentral:rRNA from 1 species
AGCGAACGCUGGCGGCAGGCUUAAAACAUGCAAGUCGAACGGGCACUUCGGUGCUAGUGGCAGACGGGUGAGUAACGCGUGGGAACGUGCCUUUCGGUUCGGAAUAAUCCAGGGAAACUUGGACUAAUACCGGAUACGCCCUUCGGGGGAAAGAUUUAUAGCCGAAAGAUCGGCCCGCGUCUGAUUAGCUAGUUGGUGAGGUAAAGGCUCACCAAGGCGACGAUCAGUAGCUGGUCUGAGAGGAUGAUCAGCCACAUUGGGACUGAGACACGGCCCAAACUCCUACGGGAGGCAGCAGUGGGGAAUACUGGACAAUGGGCGCAAGCCUGAUCCAGCCAUGCCGCGUGAGUGAUGAAGGCCUUAGGGUUGUAAAGCUCUUUUGUCCGGGAAGAUAAUGACUGUACCGGAGGAAUAAGCCCCGGCUAACUUCGUGCCAGCAGCCGCCGCAG